GAGCUGUCGUUAGGUGCUUAUGUGUGGAUGAGUGAAACAAAUCCUUUAAGCCUGUGAGAACUAACUCCCAUGCAAUAUGUCAGCUAUUUUUCGUUUCAAGAUCUUCUUUUAUGAAAAUGUUCCUUUUUUAUAUAUUUGAUAAGCUCUCCUUUCUUUUUUUUCCCUCUCUUUUUGGAUCUUUUAAAAUACUUUCACUUAAUUGUCCUGUUGGAAGGUUCUGCUUAACUGAAAGGGCGCAGCAAGAGCAGGACUGCUCCAUGAAAUGAGCCAGAGGCAAGCCUUUUCACAACACAAGCAGGAACAGCAAUCUUACCAACAGAGUAAUUACAGUCACUGUGUCAUGUGUCAACUGAAUAUCUGUGCAAGUUCCCCUUGUGUACUGGCAGAGGCAGACUACCCCAAAUCAGCAAAAAUGGCACUACUUGUAUGCUCUUAGGCAACUACUUCAUUAAUUGGAUACAUAACCAUCUGGUACAAUUACAUCUUAGAGGCGCUAUGAAGACAUGGAGCAUUAAGGAAGUAUCAGAAAUAUUAAACAUUCAAAGAAGUCUUUAUUUCUGUUUUUUGAAGUAACUCUUUGUUGGAAGACAUCUGUCCAAAAUCUGGAAAGAUAUGGAAUCAGUUUUUUUAUUGGUUUGAUUCUUCUACUUACGGUUUUAUGUUUCAAAGCAAGUAUUCUCAAUAUUAUCAAUAUUAUGGCAGUGUCUUUUAGUUUGUUUAUGACUGAUAUUCUUUGAAAUUAUUAUAGAAAACAGUAUCAUCUAUGAAUCAAUUAGAAAAAUUCUUGUUUAAACCAAAUCUGGCAGUUAAUAUUCACAGGCUACUGAGAUAAUGGAAGAAGUAGCCCUCAAAAGCAGCCUUCAGAGAAAGCUAUCUACUUCCUUGUGGGAGAAACAGACUAUUACAAUUCUCAAAAAUGUCUUUUCUUCUUUGCUCAAACUAUUUGACUGCAAAAGAUUCAGUAUAUAAAAACAGGAUGGCAUAAAAAUCAAGCUGCUGCCUUUGUGUUGCAGAAAGCACUAUUAAAAAUAUGAUACUUUUCAAA